rnacentral:rRNA from 1 species
CAGCCGCGGUAAUACGGAGGAUGCAAGCGUUAUCCGGAUUCAUUGGGUUUAAAGGGUGCGCAGGCGGAUUGGUAAGUCAGGGGUGAAAUCCCACAGCUCAACUGUGGAACUGCCUUUGAUACUGUCAGUCUAGAGUAUAGUUGAAGUUGGCGGAAUGUGUCAUGUAGCGGUGAAAUGCUUAGAUAUGACACAGAACACCGAUCGCGAAGGCAGCUAGCUAAGCUAUAACUGACGCUCAUGCACGAAGCGUGGGGAUCAAACAGGAUUAGAUACCCUGGUAGUCCACGCUGUAAACGAUGAUUACUCGAUGUUGGCGAUACACAGUCAGCGUCUGAGCGAAAGCAAUAAGUAAUCCACCUGGGGAGUACGAUCGCAAGAUUGAAACUCAAAGGAAUUGACGGGGGCCCGCACAAGCGGAGGAGCAUGUGGUUUAAUUCGAUGAUACGCGAGGAACCUUACCUGGGCUCGAACGUAAGAUGACUGUAGGUGAAAGCUUACAUCUCUUCGGAGCAUUUUACGAGGUGCUGCAUGGUUGUCGUCAGCUCGUGCCGUGAGGUGUCGGGUUAAGUCCCAUAACGAGCGCAACCCCUACCUUUAGUUGCCAACAGGUCAUGCUGGGGACUCUAAAGGAACUGCCUACGCAAGUAGUGAGGAAGGCGGGGAUGACGUCAAAUCAGCACGGCCCUUACGUCCAGGGCUACACACGUGCUACAAUGGCCGAUACAGAGGGCAGCUACCUGGUGACAGGAUGCAAAUCUCCAAAGUCGGUCUCAGUUCGGAUCGGAGUCUGCAACUCGACUCCGUGAAGUUGGAUUCGCUAGUAAUCGCGCAUCAGCCAUGGCGCGGUGAAUACGUCCCGGGCCUUGUACACACCGCCCGU